CAAGAAACCGGCUCUCCGCAGAAGCUCAUCCGCAAGGUCUCCACCUCCGGCCAGAUCCGCCAGAAGGAAGAAUUACAGCAAUGAAUUUCUGAUUUCACACCAUAAUUAUACCUGGGAUCUUAAAACCAGAUUGUCACAAGUGCCGCAUAUGGACUCACAUGGCUGCUUUGGAAGCUGCUCCCAGCUGUCUCUGUGUGCAUGCGCAGGCACAACCAUUUUCCUUUGCUAUCUGCAGUGUGG